UUUUGGCACAACCGACCGCUAAUGUGAGAUGCAAACAAGCUCACGGGUAAAAUGGAAGUAGUUCCACUGCGGAAGGAGUGAAUUGUUUAGUCAUGGUACUUUUCAGCGCCAUGUUUUCAUGCUUUCUUCUCGAUUCGUUCGAACCUCAGGAAACAGUUUGUCUCACAAAACAUGUAGCCACUUUCUCUUCUCUAAACACCUCGUGGCGUAACGUCCGAGCUGUGAUCGUGUACUGAAACGGGGUCCUGGUAAUUUGAGCUCACAAGCACGCUGGAUGGUCCAGCUGAAGAAAAGGGGUGAGAUUGACUGUAACAGUAAGGUGACUAAUUGGAAACUUAAGCACUUGGUU